rnacentral:tRNA from 1 species
UGGGGUGUAGCCAAGCGGUAAGGCAGCGGUUUUUGGUACCGCCAUUCCGAGGUUCGAAUCCUCGCACCCCAGCCA